GCGGGUAUGGUGUAGUCUGGUAUCACUCCUCCUUGCCAAGGUGGUGACCCGGGUUCAAAUCCCGGUACUCGCA
rnacentral:tRNA from 2 species